rnacentral:rRNA from 1 species
GUCGAGGGGCAGCGGGGUAGUGCUUGCACUACUGCCGGCGACCGGCGCACGGGUGAGUAACACGUAUGGAACCUGCCCGCAGCAGGGGGAUAAGCGGAAGAAAUUCCGUCUAAUACCGCGUAACAACGUUGGGAGGCAUCUCCCGAUGUUUAAAGAUUUAUCGGCUGCGGAUGGCCAUGCGGCGCAUUAGCUAGUCGGCGGGGUAACGGCCCACCGAGGCGACGAUGCGUAGGGGUUCUGAGAGGAAGGUCCCCCACACUGGUACUGAGACACGGACCAGACUCCUACGGGAGGCAGCAGUGAGGAAUAUUGGUCAAUGGGCGAGAGCCUGAACCAGCCAAGUCGCGUGAAGGAUGACGGCCCUACGGGUUGUAAACUUCUUUUGUCAGGGAGCAAUUGAGUCCACGUGUGGGCUUAGCGAGAGUACCUGAAGAAAAAGCAUCGGCUAACUCCGUGCCAGCAGCCGCGGUAAUACGGAGGAUGCGAGCGUUAUCCGGAUUUAUUGGGUUUAAAGGGUGCGUAGGCGGAAUAUCAAGUCAGCGGUAAAAAUUCGGGCUCAACCCCGUCGUGCCGUUGAAACUGAUGUUCUUGAGUGGGCGAGAAGUAUGCGGAAUGCGUGGUGUAGCGGUGAAAUGCAUAGAUAUCACGCAGAACUCCGAUUGCGAAGGCAGCAUACCGGCGCCCAACUGACGCUGAAGCACGAAAGCGUGGGUAUCGAACAGGAUUAGAUACCCUGGUAGUCCACGCAGUAAACGAUGAAUGCUAAUUGUCCGGAGGGAUUGACCUCUGGGUGAUACAGCGAAAGCGUUAAGCAUUCCACCUGGGGAGUACGUC